rnacentral:rRNA from 1 species
AUGAUUUAUCGAAAGUAUCCUAGGAAAAGGCCGGCAGAGAGUGGAAAUGAAUCAAUCCUCAACCUGGGGACAACUCCUGCUCCGCUCCGCCUCGCCUCGGGCCUCCUCCUCGAGAUGCGCGCCAGGGGCGUCGCCGCGGACGGCUUCUCCUACUCCACGCUCCUCGCCGCGCUCGCCUUCCUCCCGCUCAUGGAGGCCGACGCCGUGGCGCCGGACCUCGUGCUCUUCUCGAACCUCAUCCACCUCGCCCUCCGCGCCGGCGACGCGCCCAAGGCACUGGCGCUCUUCUCCAGCCUCCGCGCCGCGGGGAUCAGGUCCGACCUCAAGGCCUACAACGCCGCCAUCGCCGCCUACUGCAAGCCUGACCUGCUCCGCGACGCCAAGCGCCUGCUGCUCCUUGACGUCCCCACCGACGGCGUGGCCCCCGACGCCGAGUCCUACGCCCCGGUCCUCGCCGCGCUCGCGCCCUGCGGCUGGCACCUCGUGGCGGUCUCGCUCUUCUCGCACAUGCGCGCCGUGGCGCGCUCAUGCCCGACCACUCCGUCUUCAACAUCGUGCUCAACGCGUACGGGCAGCUGGACCUCGCGCGCGACGCUGACCGGCUAUUCUGGUCCAUGCGCCAGGCCGGGGUGCCGCCGAGCGUCGUUACGUACAACACCAUGCUCCGCGCCGUCACGUACACCAGACCGGCUCUUCUGGUCGUAG